rnacentral:tRNA from 1 species
GGAGAGGUGCCAGAGCGGCCGAUUGGGCCGGUCUCGAAAACCGGUGACCCCUUUUGGGGUCCGAGGGUUCGAAUCCCUCCCUCUCCG